GAUGAACGCUGACAGAAUGCUUAACACAUGCAAGUCUUUGGCGAAGCUGUGCUUGCACAGCCUAGCCAAGGCGGACGGGUGAGUAACGCGUAAGGAACUUGCCCUGCAGUCAGGGAUAACAGACGGAAACGACUGAUAAGACCUGGUAAAGUCAGGCGGACUCAUGUCCAGCCUGAUGAAAAGUGAUGCUGCAGGAGAGCCCUGCGUCCUAUUAGCUUGUUGGUGGGGUAACGGCCCACCAAGGCGAUGAUAGGUAGCCGGCCUGAGAGGGUGGACGGCCACAAGGGGACUGAGAUACGGCCCUUACUCCUACGGGAGGCAGCAGUGGGGAAUAUUGGACAAUGGGGGCAACCCUGAUCCAGCAAUUCUGUGUGCACGAUGAAGGUUUUCGGAUUGUAAAGUGCUUUCAGCAGGGAAGAAAAAAAUGACGGUACCUGCAGAAGAAGCGACGGCUAAAUACGUG
rnacentral:rRNA from 1 species